rnacentral:rRNA from 1 species
UACAGAGGGGGCAAGCGUUUGUUCGGAAUUACUGGGCGUAAAGGGCGCGUAGGCGGCCUUCUAAGUCGAACGUGAAAUCCCUGGGCUCAACCCAGGAACUGCGUCCGAUACUGGAAGGCUUGAAUCCGGGAGAGGGAUGCGGAAUUCCAGGUGUAGCGGUGAAAUGCGUAGAUAUCUGGAGGAACACCGGUGGCGAAGGCGGCAUCCUGGACCGGUAUUGACGCUGAGGAGCGAAAGCCAGGGGGAGCAAACGGG